GGCAGGAGACCCACCACAACCCAAUCUCGCACGGACCCUAGAAAGGGAGGCGUCUCCGAUGGGUGAUCUUGGCAACACAGGCGCUGUUCCUUUGUGUGUAUCCGGUAUUCAUUCACACGAUUCUCGCUAUUAUAUCAGUGCUUGUGUUUUCAGGUCACCCCUUUGAGAUGAUCACACUCUUUCCCUUCCACACAUCAUUAAUGACCCUUCCAAAUUAAUCGGUAUGGCUUCUUUGUCUCGUUGAGAUAAGGUGACUCGCUUUAAGGGUUCAACGUGGCGAUUGAGGUGCUUUGGAAAUUCAUUUUCAUGGUUAUACUUAGCUUCUUUUUCCAUAUUUGUAAUAAGAAUCUCUGUGCCAAUUUUUUGUGGCCAUUAUUUCUAGGGAAGUAUACUACAAUUAUGUAAAACUACUGAUCGUUGCUUUAGCUGCUUCCUCUGGUCACGACGAGUUGAGAUUAAAGUGCUCGUUAGUGAUUCACCCCAGUAGAGCAUGAGUGAGGUCAUAAAAACCUCUUGGACUAGAGGUGGUGUAGAAGAAGUAAAGUCUCUCCAAUUCCUCUUCACAGUUUGGAUGAUCUUGCACAGGUUGACAGUUUGAUGUGGUGCAAUUUUAUGCCAAAAACUCAAGGUACAAGUGCUUAAUAUGAAGAAAAUUAUUCAAUUGAUAUAGUAGCACUUAAUCCAAAGUUAUAAUGUACAUAUCUUCUAGCAGUUGAGUAAGAUGCAUGCAAACUUAUAAUACACUCAUAGCCCACGAUUCAAAGUUCUAUAAGAUCAAAAAUAUUUUGUGCACGUUGUUCGGAAGCUAUAAGAUGCCCUAAGGAGGUUUGACGGAUCACUAAGCACGCGCAAAGGCUUCCCAAAUCCUACUAAUUUCAACUUGAUUUUCUCAUUUGAUUAUUGAAUUUGAUUUACUCUAGAGUAGCUGAUAACCUUUUUUGGGCUGGUUAAUAGCUUUGGAGUCCAUCUUACUCUUUUAAACACAAAUUUUCACAAAUUUUAGUAUUUGAUUAUGCUAGAUUAAUCUAAUACCUUGUUGCUAGCUUUUUCCUUUUACGUAAGACGUUUUUCAAUGUGGUAUUUCCAUUUUACUCCUUAACAUGGAUCUAGAUGUCCAUGCACAAAUACUCAAGCAGAUUAAUCAAUAAUAAAGCAUAUAAAGUAUGGAAAGCAAAAUUGCCCGAGCCAUAUCGGGCAAAAUUAAUACAAUACCUCGUUAAUACACCCUGGAAAACACUCCCGAGAGUGGUAAAUGAAUGUAUAAUCAAUGAGGAAUCCAAACCAUGGAUGUCUUAAGUUGACUGUAGAGCCCCCACAAAUACUCAACCCCUUCGUCUUCCGCCUCAACCGCUACGUCUCCCGGUCGCUGCAUCGCCGAUGUCUCCCGUCUUGGCUCAUCGCCCACGGGCUCCGCUGCAUCUACGCCGAUCGCAUCCGCAGCCCGAGCCUCGCUGAGCCGUCUCUGUCUCCCCCGGCUCCCGCGAGGUUCCGCUUGCGGUGCGUUCCGAGCUCCGCUGCUCCUCUCGGCCCAUUCGGCGGACGCGGCGGCGGCGGCGGCGGCGGCGGCGGUAGCAGCGGCGGGGGAGGCGGAGUCGACGGUGAGGAUUGGAAGGUGAAAUCGGUGGUGGAUGGAGCCGAGGAAGCCUCCGGUGUCUCCUCUGAUGUGAUAAUUCUCGACGUCGGAUGUGCGGCCACUUGAGUGGCUCUGUUUCGUCUCUGCAGGGAAUGACUUGUGGGGGAUGUGCAGCGGGUAUGGAGAGAAUUUUGGAAAAUCAACAUUGGACAGCCUCAAGUAUCUGUUGCCAGCGUAAAUCUUACAACUGGGACAUCUAUUGUAUGGCCUGUAUCUGAAGCCAAGGCUAUGCCUAAUUGGCAAAAAGAGUUGGGAGAAACACUAGCAAAACACUUGACAAAUUGUGGCUUUAAGUCUAACCCUUGAGAUUUUCUGUGUCGAAGACUCCAUCUACUAGUUGGAAGUACGAGUUUUUAUAUCUGUAAUUUUCCCUGUCAUAUAAUACAAACUAACUCCGAGAAGAAUAUUUUUAAUGCUGGGGAUGGUUGACAAGUUCCCUGAAUGCUCUCAUGGAUUUGGUUUUGUGACUUUUGAUGAGAAGCAAGCAAUGGAUGAGGCUAUUGAGGCUAUGAAUGGGAUGGAAUUGGAUGUGAGAAAUAUCAUUGAGGAAAAGGCUCAGCCUCAAUGUUCAGGUGGAGACCAAGAUGUUGAUUGCAGUUGUAAAUGUGGCCCUGAUGGAGAUAGUGGUACUCAAGGAGGAUCAGGAAAUGACUGCUAAAUCAGGACCGUUCUGGUCCCUAUGAACAUCGUGGUACAGGAAACUUCCAUUCGGGUUAGAAAGAAUAUUCCUGAUAGCACAAUUGGAGGUACUGCUGUUACUUGCUGGAGCCAAAGUCCCUUCUGUUGCAUCUCUUCUUUAUUGUUCUCUGGGUGGACAACUCUGCUUGAUCAGUCUUUUGAUGUGCAAACUUUGGCUAAAAGAUUCAACUAUUUAAUGUCCGUGAAUGCUCGUUUUGAUAUUUUGGUCUGAUGACAUUGCUUGCUUGACUUAAACAAUCAAAUUUGGCCUUACUCUGUCAAGGCUACGAUGGGUAGUGGAUUCUCUUUUGCUUACAAGCUUUAGCAAUUGCAAAUGCAUCUGAGAUUGAUCUUGGUUGACUUCUUCA